GCCAGUGUGGUCCAGUGGGUUGAGACUUGGACUAUGAAUCUGGAGACCAGGGUUCAAAUCCCAGCUUGGCCA